GCGUGACAUUAGCUAGAUGGUAAGGUAACGGCUUACCAUGGCUACGAUGUCUAGGGGUUCUGAGAGGAAGGUCCCCCACACUGGAACUGAGACACGGUCCAGACUCCUACGGGAGGCAGCAGUGAGGAAUAUUGGACAAUGGAUGGAAAUCUGAUCCAGCCAUGCCGCGUGCAGGAAGACGGCCCUAUGGGUUGUAAACUGCUUUUGUAUGGGAGCAAUAAGAUCUACGUGUAGAUUGAUGAGAGUACCAUACGAAUAAGCACCGGCUAACUCCGUGCCAGCAGCCGCGGUAAUACGGAGGGUGCAAGCGUUAUCCGGAUUUAUUGGGUUUAAAGGGUGCGUAGGCGGUUUGAUAAGUCAGCGGUGAAAUAUUUCAGCUUAACUGGAAGGGUGCCGUUGAUACUGUCGAGCUUGAAUUUAGUUGCUGUGGGUGGAAUGUGUGGUGUAGCGGUGAAAUGCAUAGAUAUCACACAGAAUAUCGAUUGCGAAGGCAGCUCACAAAGCUAAUAUUGACGCUGAUGCACGAAAGUGUGGGGAUCAAACAGGAUUAGAUACCCUGGUAGUCCACACUGUAAACGAUGAUAACUCGCUGUCGGCGAUACACAGUCGGUGGCCAAGCGAAAGCGAUAA
rnacentral:rRNA from 1 species